AUUUGCAUAGUUUAAAAAAACAUUACACUUUCAUUGUAAAAUUAGAUUUCCCUCUUGCAAAUU
rnacentral:tRNA from 1 species